UACGAAGGGGCUAGCGUUGCUCGGAAUCACUGGGCGUAAAGCGCACGUAGGCGGACUCUUAAGUCGGUGGUGAAAUCCUGGAGCUCAACUCCAGAACUGCCUUCGAUACUGGGAGUCUCGAGUCCGAGAGAGGUGAGUGGAACUGCGAGUGUAGAGGUGAAAUUCGUAGAUAUUCGCAAGAACACCAGUGGCGAAGGCGGCUCACUGGCUCGGUACUGACGCUGAGGUGGCGAAAGCGUGGGGAGCAAACAGG
rnacentral:rRNA from 1 species